rnacentral:rRNA from 1 species
UACAGAGGGUGCAAGCGUUGUUCGGAAUUAUUGGGCGUAAAGGGCGCGUAGGCGGUGCGGUAAGUCUGCGGUGAAAUCUCCCGGCUCAACUGGGAGGCUGCCGUGGAAACUGCCGUGCUUGAGUGUGGGAGAGGUGAGUGGAAUUCCCGGUGUAGCGGUGAAAUGCGUAGAUAUCGAGAGGAACACCUGAGGUGAAGACGGGUUGCUGGGCCGACACUGACGCUGAGUGCGCGAAAGCCAGGGGAGCAAACGGG